AUUGAACGCUGGCGGCAGGCCUAACACAUGCAAGUCGAGCGGAUGACGGGAGCUUGCUCCUUGAUUCAGCGGCGGACGGGUGAGUAAUGCCUAGGAAUCUGCCUGGUAGUGGGGGACAACGUUUCGAAAGGAACGCUAAUACCGCAUACGUCCUACGGGAGAAAGCAGGGGACCUUCGGGCCUUGCGCUAUCAGAUGAGCCUAGGUCGGAUUAGCUAGUUGGUGGGGUAAUGGCUCACCAAGGCGACGAUCCGUAACUGGUCUGAGAGGAUGAUCAGUCACACUGGAACUGAGACACGGUCCAGACUCCUACGGGAGGCAGCAGUGGGGAAUAUUGGACAAUGGGCGAAAGCCUGAUCCAGCCAUGCCGCGUGUGUGAAGAAGGUCUUCGGAUUGUAAAGCACUUUAAGUUGGGAGGAAGGGCAGUAAGUUAAUACCUUGCUGUUUUGACGUUACCGACAGAAUAAGCACCGGCUAACUCUGUGCCAGCAGCCGCGGUAAUACAGAGGGUGCAAGCGUUAAUCGGAAUUACUGGGCGUAAAGCGCGCGUAGGUGGUUUGUUAAGUUGGAUGUGAAAGCCCCGGGCUCAACCUGGGAACUGCAUCCAAAACUGGCAAGCUAGAGUACGGUAGAGGGUGGUGGAAUUUCCUGUGUAGCGGUGAAAUGCGUAGAUAUAGGAAGGAACACCAGUGGCGAAGGCGACCACCUGGACUGAU
rnacentral:rRNA from 1 species